rnacentral:lncRNA from 1 species
GAUCCCUGUCUGUUGGCAUUCAUACCUUUGGCUGGAUCCUCUCACACAUAGGGUUGGUUUGUAAAUAUGACAAAAGCCGUAUGUGACCUCUGGAGCUAGGUCAUAAAAGACAUUGUGGCUUAUACCUUGGUCUCUCUGGGAUCACCUGCUCUGAAGGAAGCCAGCUGCCAUGUCAUGGGGACACUCAAACAGCCCUAUGGGGAGGUUCACGUGGUGAAAACAGGUCUCUGGCCAACAGUCAUGACUGUGCCAUCCUGGAGGCCGAUCCUCCAGCCCUAGUCAAUAACUGCUGCCCUGGCCUACAGUUUGUAAUCUCAUGGGAGACCUGGAGACAGAACCACCCAGCCACGCAUCCCCAAAUCCCUUUACCUCUAAAACCUGUGGGACAACAAAUGUUUAUUGCGUUAAACUUUGGGGUGAUUGUUAUGCAGCCACAGAGUUCUAAUAAACUGUCGGACAUAGAUUACUGGCUACAAAUAGUUCUACUUUUUUUUUGAGACAGGGUCUCGUUCUGUGGAACCAGGCUGAGGUGCAGUGGUGCGAUCACAGCUCAUUGAGGCCUCGACCUCCGGGCUCAAUCGACCCUCCCGCCUCAGCCACCCAACUAGCUGGGACUACAGGCAGGCGCCACCACACCUAAUUUUUUGUAUUUUUUGUAGAGAUGGGGGGGGGGGUUUCACCAUGUUGCCCAGGCUGGUCUCGAACUCCUGGGCUCAAACGAUCCACCCGCCUCGGCCUCCCAAAGUGCUGGGAUUACAGGCGUGAGCCACCGCGCCCGGCCAACCUAAGGAUUAACCUAAGGCUUCUCAGAGCAGAUGCCGCUGGAACUGAGGGCCACGGAAGAAAGGGGGUGACACUUGGUCCUGGGGAGUGGCGACUGUAUUGUCUGUCUGCAGCAUCCCUAUCAGCGCUACCGUUGUUCCACGCACACAGGGAGUAAGUACUGGGAGUCC